UACGUAGGUGGCGAGCGUUGUCCGGAUUUACCGGGCGUAAAGAGCGCGCGGGCGGUCGUACAAGUCGCGUGUGAAAGCCCCUGGCUCAACUGGGGAGGGUCACGCGAUACUGUUCGACUUGAAGGCAGGAGAGGGAAGUGGAAUUCCCGGUGUAGUGGUGAAAUGCGUAGAUAUCGGGAGGAACACCAGUGGCGAAGGCGACUUCCUGGCCUGUUCUUGACGCUGAGGCGCGAAAGCUAGGGUAGCAAACGGG
rnacentral:rRNA from 1 species